GUGCCAGCCGCCGCGGUACUACCGGCAGCCCGAGUGAUGGCCGAUCUUAUUGGGCCUAAAGCGUCCGUAGCUGGCUACGCAAGUCCGUCGGGAAAUCCACUCGCCCAACGAGUGGGCGUCCGGCGGAAACUGCACGGCUUGGGACCAGAAGGCUCGAGAGGUACGUCCGGGGUAGGAGUGAAAUCCCGUAAUCCCGAACGGACCACCGAUGGCGAAAGCAUCUCGAGAAAACGGAUCCGACAGUGAGGGACGAAAGCUAGGGUCUCGAACCGGAUUAGAUACCCCAGUAGUCC
rnacentral:rRNA from 1 species